GAUUUUCCAAAUAAUGGUAUCUUGUCUGAAACCCUCUUCAAGCUGUGUCAGUAAUAAACCUCAAAAGCUACCAACAAAAAUAAAAAUAAAAAAUAAAAAAAAUAAACCCAGAAAAAAAAAAAAAGAAAAAACAAAGAGGAAAUAAGAAAGAAGAAGAAAGAGAUCAAUCUCAAAGCUCAAGUCCUUCUUCUUCCAUAGAAAAGAGAUUUGAGAAAGAAGAAGAUGACGAGGAAGAAAAUUCAGAUCAAGAAAAUUGACAACAUAGCUGCAAGACAAGUUGCAUUUUCUAAGAGAAGAAAAGGGCUUUUCAAGAAAGCUAAAGAGCUUGCAAUUCUUUGUGAUGCUGAGAUUGGCCUUCUUGUUUUUUCUGCAUCUGGGAAGCUCUUUGACUAUGCAAGUUCAAGCAUUCAGAGCAUACUUGAGAGGCAUAAUAGUGUCAAUUCAGAGAAUCUUCCCAAUUUGAAUGAACCAUCAGUUGAGUUGCAGCUCGAGAGUAAUAUUCGAGCAAAGUUGAAUGAAGAAGUUGAGAAAAAGACCCAUGAACUAAGGCAAAUGAAGGGAGAGGAGCUUCAAGGAUUGGGGAUGGACGAGCUUAAGAAAUUAGAGAAAUCACUUCAAGGAGCACUCAGCCGUGUUGCAGAAAUUAUGGAUGGAAGAAAUACUGAUUUGAUCAGUGAUAUUGGAAGGAAGGUUGAUUUGCUGAUAGAAGAAAACAAGAGAUUGAACCAGCUUAAUUUAGUUUGUGGCAGGAGUUGGAGACAAUGACAGAGCAAAUGCAGAACAUACAAGGAAACUCUUCUGAGUCUAUAGUCAAUAAUUCCACUUCAUCAAACCCUUCUCAAGAUUAUGACAGCUCUGAUACUUCUCUCAAAUUGGGAUUGCCAUUGCUUGAGUAUUGAGUUUUAUUGCUCCAAAUUGGCACCUGAAUCAACCCAAUGAUAUGCUAUUUUCUCUUAAAAAAUAGAGUGUAUUUGGUAAAAAUAUAUACAUAACAAGUUUGAGAAGAAAAAAAAAAAAGCAAUAAAUAAGGUAGAUUAAGUGUGCAUGUAUAUGAUUUAUGCAAUAAAUAGAUUGAACGAAUUUCUGCAGUUUGGCACACACAACAAAAAUUAAAUUGCUUGAAUUUGUUACAUUAGAUCA